GUGCCAGCAGCGGCGGUAAUACGAAGGGUGCAAGCGUUACUCGGAAUUACUGGGCGUAAAGCGUGCGUAGGUGGUUCGUUAAGUCUGAUGUGAAAGCCCUGGGCUCAACCUGGGAAUUGCAUUGGAUACUGGCGGGCUAGAGUGCGGUAGAGGGUAGUGGAAUUCCCGGUGUAGCAGUGAAAUGCGUAGAGAUCGGGAGGAACAUCCGUGGCGAAGGCGACUGCCUGGACCAGCACUGACACUGAGGCACGAAAGCGUGGGAGCAAACAGGAUUAGAUACCCUGGUAGUCCACGCCCUAAACGAUGCGAACUGGAUGGUUGGCUCAACUUGGAGCUCAGU
rnacentral:rRNA from 1 species